rnacentral:tRNA from 1 species
CCAGAAAGAAGAGAUUUUUACUCCUACCUCUAACUCCCAAAGCCAGA